AACGAACGCUGGCGGCAUGCCUAACACAUGCAAGUCGAACGAGACCUUCGGGUCUAGUGGCGCACGGGUGCGUAACGCGUGGGAACCUGCCCUUAGGUUCGGAAUAACUCCCCGAAAGGGGUGCUAAUACCGGAUAAUGUCUUCGGACCAAAGAUUUAUCGCCUUUGGAUGGGCCCGCGUUGGAUUAGCUAGUUGGUAGGGUAAAAGCCUACCAAGGCGACGAUCCAUAGCUGGUCUGAGAGGAUGAUCAGCCACACUGGGACCGAGACACGGCCCAGACUCCUACGGGAGGCAGCAGUGGGGAAUAUUGGACAAUGGGCGAAAGCCUGAUCCAGCAAUGCCGCGUGAGUGAUGAAGGCCUUAGGGUUGUAAAGCUCUUUUACCCGGGAUGAUAAUGACAGUACCGGGAGAAUAAGCGCCGGCUAACUCCGUG
rnacentral:rRNA from 1 species